rnacentral:rRNA from 1 species
UACGGAGGGGGCUAGCGUUGUUCGGAAUCAUUGGGCGUAAAGCGCGUGUAGGCGGCUCGGUAAGUCUGCUCUGAAAGCCCGGGGCUCAACCCUGGGAGGCGGGUGGAUACUGCUGAGCUCGAGUCCGGAAGAGGCGAGUGGAAUUCCUGGUGUAGCGGUGAAAUGCGCAGAUAUCAGGAGGAACACCAAUGGCGAAGGCAGCUCGCUGGGACGUGACUGACGCUGAGACGCGAAAGCGUGGGGAGCAAACAGGAUUAGA